rnacentral:rRNA from 1 species
CGGGUGAGUAACGCGUGGAAAACCUGCCGUAUACUGGGGGAUAACACUUAGAAAUAGGUGCUAAUACCGCAUAAGCGCACAGCUUCGCAUGAAGCAGUGUGAAAAACUCCGGUGGUAUACGAUGGUUCCGCGUCUGAUUAGCUAGUUGGUGAGGUAAAAGCCCACCAAGGCAACGAUCAGUAGCCGGCCUGAGAGGGUGGACGGCCACACUGGGACUGAGACACGGCCCAGACUCCUACGGGAGGCAGCAG